UACGGAGGGUGCAAGCGUUUGUCCGGAAUCACUGGGCGUAAAGGGCGCGUAGGCGGCUCAUGAAGGCUGUGGUGAAAGUCCGGGGCUCACCUCGGAUCGGCCGUGGCGACUCGUGGGCUGGAGCACUGUAGAGGCGGGUGGAAUUCCGGGUGUAGCGGUGGAAUGCGUAGAGAUCCGGAAGAACACCAGUGGCGAAGGCGGCCCGCUGGGCAGUGGCUGACGGCUGAGGCGCGACAGGCGUGGGGAGCAAACAGG
rnacentral:rRNA from 1 species